rnacentral:rRNA from 1 species
UACGAAGGGGGCUAGCGUUGCUCGGAAUCACUGGGCGUAAAGCGCACGUAGGCGGAUCUUUAAGUCAGGGGUGAAAUCCCAAGGCUCAACCUUGGAACUGCCUUUGAUACUGGGGAUCUCGAGUCCGGAAGAGGUGAGUGGAACUGCGAGUAUAGAGGUGAAAUUCGUAGAUAUUCGCAAGAACACCAGUGGCGAAGGCGGCUCACUGGUCCGGUACUGACGCUGAGGUGCGAAAGCGUGGGGAGCAAACAGG